CCGUACGCUUUCAAGUAUCUACCCAAAUUAUCAAAAGCAUAUUUUAUUUUAACUUUGGAGGAAAAAACAAUUGGAUGGAAGUUUUAUUACUUUCUUAAAUCGAUAUUUCAAAUGCAACAUUUUCGAUAUGUACUUUUAUGUAACCUACAUAACUGCGAUGUUCCACUUUGAGUAUGAUCUAGCAAUUUAAAUCCAAAACAAUCGAAUUAUUGAGAUUUAAUUUUAUGAAAUAGGACUACAAUUUCAAUAUUUGUAACCAAAGCAUGAAUAAUCUUGAAAUAUAUUUAAUUAGUGGUCAAAUAAUAGAAUGUGAAAAUUUCAUUAAAUGAAAUACGCACGAAUUGUGGCAUAUUUUAUGUAGAGAAGCGUUAAAUGCAUGGUAGCCUAAAUGUUUGAUCGUCCGAUGUCUUGUUUUAUAUAGCUAUAUACAUAGGGAUUCUUUUUUUUCCUGAAAUUAAUAAAAGCAAAUGAAACUAGGAGCAUUUUCAAUAACAAUAUUUUUUAAAUAGACGGUUAUGAUAUGUAUUGCAUAGGCUGUGACAGCAACUAAGGUGUCAGGUCAGUUAAAAAAUACAUUAUAUUACGCAAAAUUAUUCCCACAAUUAUAUUGUAAAUGGGCUAUAUCUGUUAUUUUCAUUGUCCUCUACAAGUGCGUUGAAGACACACACGCACACACUCAGACUUCCGAAAUACCUGCAUUUACAGAAUGUGUCUUUUAUAUCUGGGUGGUGGGGGUUCAGCUUCAUUAACGGGUAGCAUACAGUAGGGCAGUGGUAGUUAACUAGAUAAAGCUGCAGACAUUUUUUUUUAAUUGAUGAUUUGGGAUCUAGAACAACUCAAAAUGAAUUUGUUAUCUACAUUUUACUAUCAGACCACAUACCGUUUUGCCACGUGUCUUCCACAUACCAUAUGGCCAAGCAUACGGGAACCCCUGGGAAAUAGGUGACAUGUUAACAAUUUCUCGCAUUCUGGCCGUAGAACUCUGUAAUUCCUUCAGAGUUAACAUUACUCUUGGUGGCUUCUCCCACCAUGGAUCUCCUUCAGUAGCUCCUUUUUCGAUGGACGGAGUGCUCUAAGCAGAGUCGUGGAGUUCAAACCAAGAAUGAGAGUGCUGGAGUGCUGCAGACAAUGCCAAGAGUGUGCAAUGCUGUCAUCAAGGGAAAGGGUCACUACUUUGAAAAAUCUAAACUAUAAAGAACGCUGUAGUCUCCAACCUUGGAUCUCCUUGUUCAGAAGCUCAGAUUAGAUGUCAUGCUCUUAGCAGAAUGGAGGACAUGAGCCUUUGGACCACGCCCUAGGACUACCAGGCCCAAAUGACUCUGAGCUGCCUCUCUCCCUCUCUCUGAAGUCCUCCUAGAUGUGUUGCUGUUUAUUUCCCGACGGCCCAUCUCAUUAUACCCACUUGUGCAGCAGACUUAGGUUCUAAGGACUCUGGUCACAGCCCUCUUGCCUGUAUUCAUAUGCUUGUAUUCUGAUCAUAUAACAGUGAGCACAGCCAGAAGAGGCCUAGCCACCACUCAGAGUAUUGGUCCUCCUAAUUUUGACUCUACUAGUGAGUUUUUCCAAGUGACAACUUCUGAUGUAAAAUGGGCUUUAUUAAAUACAUUUGAUUGAUUUA